rfam:Lepisosteus oculatus linkage group LG7, whole genome shotgun sequence.
GCCAGCAGCCAUAUCACCCUACAAGUCACAAGUGACAACCCACUGAAGUUAACCAGGUGUGAACCUGGUCAGUAUCCGGAUGGGAGAUGUCCUGGGAAAAACUAAGGCUGCUGCUGGAA